AUUGAACGCUGGCGGCAUGCCUUACACAUGCAAGUCGAACGGUAACAGGUCUUCGGAUGCUGACGAGUGGCGAACGGGUGAGUAAUACAUCGGAACGUGCCCAGACGUGGGGGAUAACGAGGCGAAAGCUUUGCUAAUACCGCAUACGAUCUAAGGAUGAAAGCAGGGGACCGCAAGGCCUUGCGCGUUUGGAGCGGCCGAUGGCAGAUUAGGUAGUUGGUGGGAUAAAAGCUUACCAAGCCGACGAUCUGUAGCUGGUCUGAGAGGACGACCAGCCACACUGGGACUGAGACACGGCCCAGAAUCCUACGGGAGGCAGCAGUGGGGAAUUUUGGACAAUGGGCGAAAGCCUGAUCCAGCAAUGCCGCGUGCAGGAUGAAGGCCUUCGGGUUGUAAACUGCUUUUGUACGGAACGAAAAGGCUCUGGCUAAUACCUGGGGCACAUGACGGUACCGUAAGAAUAAGCACCGGCUAACUACGUG
rnacentral:rRNA from 1 species